ACAUGCCUACAACAUAAUAUUAAUGCACCGGAUCCCAUUAGAACUCCGCAGUUAAGUGUGCUCAGGCUAGAGUAUACUAGGAUGGGUGAUAGCCUGGGAAGUCUUAGUGUUUUACAUGCU
rfam:Picea glauca, whole genome shotgun sequence.